AUUCGAGAGAGACUGCGGAAUGGCAGCGCCGAAGGGGCAAAAAACUCUCAGGCAAAAGUAUCGG
rnacentral:ncRNA from 1 species